AAACUAAUCUAAUUUGGCGGCAUUUCAUCUUAUUAGAGGAAUUUGUCAUUUAAUCGAUAAUCCACGUUAAAUUUCACUUUUAUUUCUAAUUUAUAUACCGCCAUCUUAAGAAUUAUUCUUAAAACAUNAUUCUCAACAAUAUAUAAUACGUUAGGUCAAGGUGUAGUUCAUAUAAAAGCAUAGAUGAAUUACUUUAAAUAUUAUUUAAGGAUUAUCAUUCAAAACUCAUAUCAAAAAGGAUUUAAAAGUAAUAUUAUAAUAAUAAUUUAAUAUGAUUAAGAUAAUAAAUGUGCACACAUCGCCC
rnacentral:rRNA from 1 species